AACGCGAAGAACCUUACCUGGGCUUGACAUGUUCCCGACGACCUCAGAGAUGGGGUUUCCCUUCGGGGCGGGUUCACAGGUGGUGCAUGGUCGUCGUCAGCUCGUGUCGCGAGAUGUUGGGUUAAGUCCCGCAACGAGCGCAACCCACGCCCCGUGUUGCCAGCGCGUCAUGGCGGGAACUCACGGGGGACUGCCGGGGUCAACCCGGAGGAAGGCGGGGAUGACGUCAGAUCAUCAUGCCCCUUACGUCCAGGGCUUCACGCAUGCUACAAUGGCCGGUACAACGGGAUGCGACAUGGCGACAUGGAGCGGAUCCCUGAAAACCGGUCUCAGUUCGGAUCGCAGUCUGCAACUCGACUGCGUGAAGGCGGAGUCGCUAGUAAUCGCGAAUCAGCAACGUCGCGGUGAAUGCGUUCCCGGGUCUUGUACACACCG
rnacentral:rRNA from 1 species